ACAUUUUGAAUGAGGCAAUCAAAUUGAUACAAUAUGCUCUCAUUAGAUUUGAAAAUGUUAAUUUAAUAUGGGCAGCUCAAGUUCCAUUUGGCAUCAGGCACUUCUGUUAUAUCAUGUUAUUAGUUUCUACUGAGUUCCCUUUCAUUCCUAUUUAAUUGAUGUGCUAAUACUUGCCUGAUUGUGGAGAGAUUUUAAUCUGAGUGAAGUACUUACCAGGGAAACAUUAAAUGUUUUCUUAGAAAAUUAUUGAAUAAUGGGUUCUAUUGGUUAGGGUUUAGGGGAGUGAUAUAAAUCUGUAGUGGUUUAAUGGCUGAUAAAUGUUUAUGAACUUCUUUUGUAAUAUGGAAUGGUGACUUUUCAAAUGUUUGAUCUUCAUUCAAUGGAAAUUUGCUAUUUUUGCAAGUCUAUUGGGAACUAUGCUCUCAUCUUUGUCUCUCUCCCACUCAUUUCCAUUAUGGUUUGAUGAUAGAGGUAUGUUAUUUUCCUAUGUUACUCGGGUUAUGUGUGAAAAGAAAUUUUGAACCUACAUAAAUUUGGUUAAUUUACAUGAUAAAUCAAUAAAUGGUGGUUCGAUUCACUGGUAAUUGACAGGGUUCUGAAUUAGCAUUGCAAAUUAUCCGAUUUACUAGUGGAUUUUUUAGUUGUAUGGACCCGUUUUGAUUGCUUGGACAUUCAUUAUGAGCUCUUGUGCUUGCAAGGAUGCCAUAGCCUCCAGGUGGUACCUUUGCAUUGUUCUCCUUACUCUGUUGACAUGCAAUACUUGGCAUUCUGCCCAAUCAAUAAAACACAGAUGAGACGCUGUCUUCAUAUGCUAUAGAAAGAUCAGCAAAAACAUGGCAAAGUUCUAUUAUGAAGUCAUUCUUCGAGAAGCAUCCAAAUUUUUUGUUCUCGUUAUUGUAAAAAGAUUACAAGAUUAAUGACCUUGGAAUGAUGGAUGAUAAUAGUUGCAGAUGUGCUGCUAACUCUACAACAGUGGCAUUGCCUCUUCCAUUUCCAUUUCUUGAACUCCCCAUAUAUAUGACAUAAGGCUGCAUUAUGAUAUUAACAGCUCUAGGAUGAAAAUCGGGCAGCUUGGAUUUAGCUCACAUACAUAGCAUUCAACUUUUCUAGGAACCUAAGAAGAAGAUUUAAGGUACACAUUCUAGAAUAAUGAACACCAGCAUUGAAUUAUUUUGCUGUUGUAUACCUCAUCAAUUGGCCAUUCUUUGACAGUUUAUUCUUUGUCUCGCCUAUUAAUGUUGGUUUCUUUUAAUUGCUGAGAACAGUUAAUAAAUAUAUACUGUUUUCACAACAUCAUUUGUGGCUGAUAUGUUGACUUGAUCUCACAAUGACAAUAAAGCAAUGGUUUUAGUGUAUUACAACAUAAUUCACUUUUUGGUUUCUCAAGGGUACAUCUUGGCUGGAAAGCUUGUAUUUAGACUUAAUGUUUGUUUCGUUGGGAUUUGUC